rnacentral:rRNA from 1 species
UGGGGAAUAUUGGACAAUGGGCGAAAGCCUGAUCCAGCAAUGCCGCGUGAGUGAUGAAGGCCUUAGGGUUGUAAAGCUCUUUUACCCGGGAUGAUAAUGACAGUACCGGGAGAAUAAGCUCCGGCUAACUCCGUGCCAGCAGCCGCGGUAAUACGGAGGGAGCUAGCGUUAUUCGGAAUUACUGGGCGUAAAGCGCACGUAGGCGGCUUUGUAAGUUAGAGGUGAAAGCCUGGAGCUCAACUCCAGAAUUGCCUUUAAGACUGCAUCGCUUGAAUCCAGGAGAGGUGAGUGGAAUUCCGAGUGUAGAGGUGAAAUUCGUAGAUAUUCGGAAGAACACCAGUGGCGAAGGCGGCUCACUGGACUGGUAUUGACGCUGAGGUGCGAAAGCGUGGGGAGGCAAACAGGAUUAGAUACCCUGGUAGUCCACGCCGUAACGAUGAUAACUAGCUGUCGGGGCUCUUAGAGCUUCGGUGGCGGCAGCUAACG